rnacentral:rRNA from 1 species
CCUACGGGAGGCAGCAGUGAGGAAUAUUGGUCAAUGGGCGGGAGCCUGAACCAGCCAAGCCGCGUGAGGGAAGAAGGUACAGCGUAUCGUAAACCUCUUUUGUCAGGGAACAAAGGCGGGGACUAGUCCCCGGAUGAGGGUACCUGAAGAAAAAGCAUCGGCUAACUCCGUGCCAGCAGCCGCGGUAAUACGGAGGAUGCGAGCGUUAUCCGGAUUUAUGGGGUUUAAAGGGUGCGAGGCGGCCUGUUAAGUUAGCGGUAAAAGCCCGGGGCCCAACCCGGGCGAGCCGUUGAAAUUGGCGGGCGGGAGGUGGAGAGAGGGAGGCGGAAGGCGCGGUGUAGGGGUGAAAUGCUUAGAUAGCGGGCAGAAGCCCGAUGGCGAAGG